rnacentral:rRNA from 1 species
AUGGUGGCGAGGCAGGGGCGCGAGCUGCAGCGGUACAGCGCCAGCACGGGCGGCCGCAUCGUCGUCGGCUGCAUCCCCUACCGGGUGCGCGACGACAACGGCGAGGUGGAGGUGCUGGUCAUAUGCUCGCGGAAGAAGGGCGCCAGCGCGGGCGUGCUCUUCCCCAAGGGCGGGUGGGAGCUGGACGAAUCCAUGGACGAGGCGGCGCGGCGCGAGGCCCUGGAGGAGGCCGGCGUGCGCGGCGAGACGGGGCCCUCGCUGGGCCGCUGGUGCUACCAGAGCCGCAGCUACGAGGCCACCUACGAGGGGUACAUGUUCCCGCUGCGCGUCACGGACGAGCUGGAGCGCUGGCCCGAGAUGUCCGGCCGCGGCAGGACCUGGGUCACCGUGCAGGACGCCAUGGACCGCUGCCCGCACCUCUGGAUGCGCGAGGCGCUCCAGCGGUUCGCCGACCGCGUCGCCGACGCCGCCUUGUAG